rnacentral:rRNA from 1 species
GAUGAACGCUGACAGAAUGCUUAACACAUGCAAGUCAACUUGAACUUCGGUUUGGGUGGCGGACGGGCGAGUAACGCGUAAAGAACUUGCCUCACAGAUAGGGACAACAUUUGGAAACGAAUGCUAAUACCUGAUAUUAUGAUUUUAGGGCAUCCUGGGAUUAUGAAAGCUAUAUGCGCUGUGAGAGAGCUUUGCGUCCCAUUAGCUAGUUGGAGAGGUAACGGCUCACCAAGGCGAUGAUGGGUAGCCGGCCUGAGAGGGUGAUCGGCCACAAGGGGACUGAGACACGGCCCUUACUCCUACGGGAGGCAGCAGUGGGGAAUAUUGGACAAUGGACCAAGAGUCUGAUCCAGCAAUUCUGUGUGCACGAUGAAGUUUUUCGGAAUGUAAAGUGCUUUCAGUUGGGAAGAAAAAAAUGACGGUACCAACAGAAGAAGUGACGGCUAAAUACGUG